UAGUGUCCUCGCAUGCUUUUGACGGGUAACGGGGAAUUAGGGUUCGACUCCGGAGAGGGAGCCUGAGAAACGGCUACCACAUCCAAGGAAGGCAGCAGGCGCGCAAAUUACCCAAUCCCGACACGGGGAGGUAGUGACAAGAAAUACCGAUACAGGGUCCUUUGUGAUCGUGUGGUUGGAAUGAGUACAAUUUAAACCCAUUAACGAGGAACAACUGAAGGGCAAGUCUGGUGCCAGCAGCCGCGGUAAUUCCAGCUUCAGGAGCAUACAUUAAAGUUGUUGCGGUUGAAACGCCCGUAGUUGAAGUUUGGGCCGAGUCUACUGGUCCGUCUCACCACGUGUACUGGUGUGACUUGGCCUUUCCUCUUGGAGCACCACAUGCUCUUAACUGAGUGUGCUGGGAAACCAGGACUUUUACUUUGAAAAAAUUAGAGUGUUCAAAGCAGGCGCAUGCUCGAAUACCUUAGCAUGGAAUAAUGGAAUAGGACGUCAGUUUUAUUCGUUGGUUUCUGGGACUGACGUAAUGAUUAAUAGGG
rnacentral:rRNA from 1 species